GGCUAUUAAUUAAUUAUUAAUAAAUUAUUAAUUAAUUAUUAGGGCUAUUAAUUGAUUAUUAGGGCUAAUAAUGCCAUUAUUGGGGACUAAUAAUUAAUUAAUACGGCUAAUAAUGAAUUAAUAAGGUUAUUAAUUAAUUAUUAGGGCCAUUAAUUAGCUAUUAGAAUUAUUAAUCAAUUAUUAAUUAAUUAUUAAUUGAUUAUUAAAUAAUUAUUAGGGCUGUUAAUUAAUUAUUAGGGCUAUUAAUGCCAUUAUUGGGGGCUAAUGAUUAAUUAAUAUGGCUAAUAAUUAACUAAUAAGGCUAUUAAUUAACUAUUAGGGCCAUUAAUUAAUUAUUAGGAUUAUUAAUCGAUUAUUAAUUGAUUAAUAUAUGAUUAUUAAUUAAUUAUUAGGGCUAUUAAUUGAUUAUUAGGGCUAUUAAUGCCAUUAUUGGGGGCUAAUAAUUAAUUAAUACGGCUAAUAAUGAAUUAAUAAGGCUAUUAAUGAACUAUUAGGGCCAUUAAUUAAUUAUUCCGGCUAUUGAUUAGGAUUAUUAAUUAAUUAUUUAUUAAUUAUUAAUUAAUUAUUAGGCUAAUUAACCCUAAUUAACUCCAUCUUUUCUCUUUCCAGGUCCAUAUCGACGACGGAGCGACUUCCGCCCCCCCCUAAUUAGUUAAUUAAUGAUUAAUUAAUUAAUGACCUGCCAUUAAUUAAUUAAUCCAUUAAUCGAGGCCUCAUUAGCACUUAAUAACAGGGACCGGGAAAGGGGGCGGGGCUAUGCAAAUCAGGCUCAUGAAUAUAUAAUCACAUGCUAAUGAGGUCUCAAUGUUAGUUGAUUGGGGGUGGUGGGGUUUGACAAAGCCACGCCCCCUUCAUUUGCAUAAAGGGGCGGGGUUAAAGAGGACACACCCAUAUAUGGACAAAGGGGGCGGGGCUACGGAGGUCACGCCCAUAUAUGGAGGUGGGGGCGGGGCUAUGCCCAUAUAUGGAAAGGGGGCGUGGCCAAGAGCCCCCAUAGACUAUAAUGGGAGGGGGCGUGGCUUAGCGCAGCCCAUGCCCAUAUAAGGAGAAGUGGGCGUGGCCAAGAGCCCCCAUAGACUCUAAUGGGAGGGGGCGUGGCUUAGCGUAGCCCCGCCCCCUCCCAUUCAACUCAAUGGGGAUAAGAGGGAUAAGGGGGGGGGGGGGGGGGGUUAAUUAAGGGUUAAUGAAUAUUCAUGAGCGACUUAAUUAAUGAAUUAACGACUAAUUAAUCGGAGCCGGUGGGGAUUUCUUCUUAUUUCUCGCUUCAUUUCUGUUCCCCUUUUUCUUUAAUCCCGGAACCGCGGUGCCUUUCUUUCCCCUUCCUGUUCUUAAUUAUGUUAAUGAAUAUGCUAAUGAGUAUGCUAAUGAGUCGGGCUAAUUAAGGUUUAAUUAAGGGGGUCAUUCAUUACUAUGGGGGGGGGGGGGGGUCUUAACGAGCCUUAUAACGAGCACUUUGAUUCUGUAUAUGGGGUUGGGGGGGCGGCGCUAACGAAGGAGGCCUUAAUGAGGCUCAUUUGCAUAAAUUUGCAUAGGUUUGCAUACAUUUCCAUCCAGGGAUCCCAUUGGUUCGUCGACAUGAGGCCUUAAUUGAAUAUUAAUUAGGUAUGAAUAUUAAUUAAGCAAGAUGACGGCCCUGAUAGGCUUCCAUUGGGUCGAAUCCGGGUCUCAUUUGCAUAAAUUAGCAUACUGGGCUCAUUUGCAUAGAUUAGCAUCCAGGGAUCCCAUUGGUUCGUCGACAUGAGGCCUUAAUUGAAUAUUAAUUAGGUAAGAAGCAAGAUGGCGGCUUCCAAGGCACUAAGCAGGUCCUCAUUUUGCAUAAAUUAUGAUCCUAAUUUGCAUAAAUUAGCAUACGUGGCUCGUUUGCAUAGAUUAGCGUAGAGGGAUCCCAUUGGUUCGCUGAUAAUGAGGCCUUAAUUGAAUAUUAAUUAGGAGCAAGGCGGCCCUAAUUGGCUUCAAUUGGCUCGAAUCUGGGCCUCAUUUGCAUAAAUUAGCAUACAGAAAUCGCCUGCAUAAAUUAGGGCUCAUUUGCAUAAAUUAGAAUAGA
ensembl:lncRNA